UACAGAGGUCUCAAGCGUUGUUCGGAUUCAUUGGGCGUAAAGGGUGCGUAGGUGGUGCUGUAAGUCUGUGGUGAAAUCUCUGGGCUCAACUCAGAGUCUGCCAUAGAAACUGCAGUGCUGGAGUGUGGGAGAGGUGAGUGGAAUUCCCGGUGUAGCGGUGAAAUGCGUAGAUAUCAGGAAGAACACCCGUGGCGAAGGCGGCUCUCUGGAACGCAACUGACGCUGAGACGCGAAAAGCGUGGGGGAGCAAACAGG
rnacentral:rRNA from 1 species